rnacentral:rRNA from 1 species
CAGUCGCCACGGGAAUACGGAGGGUGCAAGCGUUAAUCGGAAUUACUGGGCGUAAAGCGUGCGUAGGCGGUUCGUUAAGUCUGUUGUGAAAGCCCCGGGCUCAACCUGGGAAUGGCAAUGGAUACUGGCGAGCUAGAGUGUGUCAGAGGAUGGUGGAAUUCCCGGUGUAGCGGUGAAUUGCGUAGAGAUCGGGAGGAACAUCAGUGGCGAAGGCGGCCAUCUGGGACAACACUGACGCUGAGGCACGAAAGCGUGGGGAGCAAACAGGAUUAGAUACCCCCGUAGUCCCUGUCUCUUAUAC